UAAUAGCGUAUACUUAAGUUGUUGCAGUUAAAAAGCUCGUAGUCGGAUGUCGGGCUCGGGCAGGCUGUCGGCUUCGGUCGGACGGCAGGCUCGGGUCUUUCUGCCUGAGGAACCCGUUGCACUUAAUUGGGCGGCGUGGGGACGCAGGCCGUUUACUUUGAAAAAAUUAGAGUGUUUAAAGCAGGCCUACGCUUGAAUACAUUAGCAUGGAAUAAUGGAAUAGGACUUUGGUGCUAUUUUGUUGGUUUAUGGGACCGAAGUAAUGAUUAACAGGGACAGUUGGGGCCGUUUAUAUUUCGUUGUCAGAGGUGAAAUUCUUGGAUUUACGAAAGAUAAACUUCUGCGAAAGCAUUCGGCAAGGAUGUUUUCAUUGA
rnacentral:rRNA from 1 species